rnacentral:rRNA from 1 species
UACGGAGGGUGCAAGCGUUAUCCGGAUUUACUGGGUUUAAAGGGUGUGUAGGCGGGUCUUUAAGUCAGUGGUGAAAUCUCCGAGCUCAACUUGGAAACUGCCAUUGAUACUAUUGAUCUUGAAUUCUGUUGAGGUGGGCGGAAUAAGUCAUGUAGCGGUGAAAUGCUUAGAUAUGACACAGAACACCGAUUGCGAAGGCAGCUCACUAAACUAAUACUGACGCUGAGGCACGAAAGCAUGGGGAGCAAACAGG